UCGCCCUUCCUACGGGAGGCAGCAGUGGGGAAUAUUGGACAAUGGGCGGAAGCCUGAUCCAGCCAUGCCGCGUGUGUGAAGAAGGCCUUUUGGUUGUAAAGCACUUUAAGCGAGGAGGAGGCUCUCCUAGUUAAUACCUAGGAAGAGUGGACGUUACUCGCAGAAUAAGCACCGGCUAACUCUGUGCCAGCAGCCGCGGUAAUA
rnacentral:rRNA from 1 species